rnacentral:lncRNA from 1 species
ACACCUUGGCGAAGUUUUUAAAUGUGCGCUUACAAUGUUUUUAACCCCAUGGUUAUUGCGUCAGCAUCAUGUUUUUUUUCUUCCCGUUUUUCAGCGAAUACUUUUAGUUUUUGUUUUGUCUCUAAGGAUAUGAAGUUCUUUCUUGGUUUUAAUAUGAAGUAUCUUGAAUAAAAACAUGGGAUUAUUGUUGAUUUUGCCCUUUUUUACCAAAAUCUUUUGAAAAUGCCAUUUUUGCAAAAAUCUUAUGGAUUUGUCAUUUUUUAACACUUAAAAAUGUACGUAUUUCGGAUUUUUUUUGGUAAAAAUACGUAGUUUAUACAAAAUACUAAACCCUAAGAACAACCACAACCGACUAAACCCAAACAUAACGAAUAAAACGCAUGUUUCCAUAGCCUGAAAAAAGGUAAAAUCCAUAAACUAUUCAAAAAAUGGCAAAAUCCACAAAUGCCAUCACAAAAAAUGGUAAAUCCAUAAUUGAUUCUAAAAACAUCCGUUCCUAUUGUUAUUUAUAGCAAAACUAGAACUGACCAUAAACGGAGAUAUAAGUUAUGAAAAUAGUAAAUCUAAAGGGGUGUCUUAACUGGUUUUUUAUUCGAUUUUGGUUAAACCAAGUAAUUGGCAAAUUAGUCUCUAAAUCAGUUUACAUUAUUAGAGGAAAUUGUUCAAUCAAAAGGAAGGUCAUCUUUAAUCAGUUUGGUACUUGUUAAUCUUGAUUAGUCAACC